CUUGAAUAACAGUGAUCUGGUCACAACUGAAGGAAUAAGGUGGGAAUUUGGAAGACAAGCAGACUUUUUUCUCCACAUUCCAUAAAAAUUCCUUUAGAAAGAGUGACGGUAGAUUGAAAACGUUGAAGAGUGGGAAGGAAUUGUCUUAAAGGAAGGACUGAAGCCUAUGUUACAAGUGCCUCAAGACGGCAAAAAGCUUUGUGAAUCAGCAAAUUCCUAGCAGCUGCUUUGCGGUUAUUAUCAGUAUUCCUCCAAGGGUGAACUUUCCUGUGACCUACUAUCAACAAACAGUUCUUCCCUCAAGGGAACUAAAGAGAGCGCUGGUAGACUGAAAACAUUUAGGAUUGGGAAGGAAUUUUCUUAAAGGAAGGACCGAUAGCCAAACUACAAGCAAAAGAGAAGAACAUGAGAAGGGAUAAUCAGAG
rnacentral:lncRNA from 1 species